rnacentral:rRNA from 1 species
UACGUAGGGACCAAGCGUUGUUCGGAUUUACUGGGCGUAAAGGGCGCGUAGGCGGCGUGGUAAGUCACUUGUGAAAUCUCCGAGCUUAACUCGGAAAGGUCAACUGAUACUGUGCGGCUAGAGUGCGGAAGGGGCAACUGGAAUUCUUGGUGUAGCGGUGAAAUGCGUAGAUAUCAAGAGGAACACCUGCGGCGAAGGCGGGUUGCUGGGCCGACACUGACGCUGAGGCGCGAAAGCCAGGGGAGCGAACGGG